rnacentral:rRNA from 1 species
CCUGAGGUAUUUGCGACAUGGGGGAAGCCUGAUCCAGCCAUGCCGCGUGUGUGAUGAAGGUCUUCGGAUUGUAAGCUCUUUUAGUUGGGAGGAAGGGCAGUUACCUAAUACGUGAUUGUCUUGCCGUUACCGAGGGAAUAAGCCCCGGCUAUCACUGUGGCAGCGGGCGCGGUAAUCA